AACAUUUCCUUGUACAUAUACACCCUGUUUUGUUUCUCAUUCAUCUGUCAAUGGACACUAGGGUGGUUUCCACAUUUUGGCUACUGGGACUAAUGCUGCUUUGAAUAUGGAUGUGGAAGCUUACUCUUUCCUGGAAAAUUUCAGUCCAGUUGUGCGGUCUUGAAAUAGUUCUGACACUGAGUUGGGUGGAGGUACAGUGCAUGGCAAAUAGAAAAGUCCAACUGGCAGAAUGCAAAUGGUUAAAAUUCUGGCUGGAACUUUUAUAAACUUGGUUUCCCUCUCACCUUUUUUUUUUUUUUUCCUUCAGGGCAGACCUCUUCCUGGAAUCAGUUCAGCUCUUAGAACCCCCCAUGGGUGGCUGAUGGACAAAGCAAUAAAGCUGACUGCAUCCUGCUCCUUCCCAUGCCGUGGGGCCCUUUGCUGCUGGGGACCUGAAAGUAUUACAAAGCUCCCUGUGGAAGAGGUAGAGUCAGCAAUGGAAGCAGUUUGGGUCUGGACGUGGAAGCUGCCUGCCCACUCGGCACACCCACGUUGGACGAUUAGGUGAGCAGACAACAAACAUUCCCUAUGUUAAGCCACUACGAUGUGGGGUUUAUUUGUUAGGGUAGCUGGCAGAACCCUACAAAUACAAUCCACUUUACACUGUGCGUAGAAAAGUGAGGACGAAGAAGCCAAACAUCCCUAAUGGGCACUCUCUGAAAGCAGACCUGCCUUUCGGUGGCGUCACUGCUUUGUCUCUGAGUGCCUGCAGUGGGCCUUUGGAAGCUGUUGCUUUGAGAUUCGUUCCGCAGUAUGUUUCAAGUUGUUCUGCCUUAAAUUAAAAAAUCAGUAGUUUGAAUGUGGAUGCAAAUUCUUAAUAGCCUUAGCAACUGACGAAAAAUUUCCAGAUGUUUCACAAAGCACUAAAAUAUUGUACAUUGUUUUCUUUUUCAAUGGGAAAUUAUUCACAGCGCCAUAAAAAGUUGUUUUUUCAGUAAACAGAUUAUGUUUCAGUCUGCGGUGUGAACACUUAAAUGGAACGAUGCAAUAUGCCACUUUUUAAAAGAGGGUUUUAAACAUGUCAGUACAAACCUUUCAGGCCUCUGUCCCAUAAAUUCAACUUUUUAAAAUGAAAUCAACCUGAGCCCUGUGAAAGCUCUAGUACUACUAUGUCAAAACCAGUGAAAUUUGGCUGUUUAUUGCCACCUAUGGAAUGUGGCAAAGAAACAUUCUUUUCACAUGGGACAAUUUCUUCAACUUUACACCAAGUGAAAUUUAAUUGCUUUCACUUCCUGGAAUCAUUAGGCGUUAGUCCUGCAGGAGAGGGAACCCAGAGGAGAUGCUGAAAAAUAAGUCUGUGCUUAAUAUAUUUCUCCUUGGAAUUGUAUUCUCUUUCCCUUUACUGCUGUGAUGCAGCAAAUUUCAGCCUGGGCAGCCGCUUUACAAACAGGAGGGAAAUUUUAGAGGAAGAAGAAAUAACAGUAUCCUAUUGGAAAAGAACACAUCAGAGGUAAAUUGUCCUUGAAAGCCAUGACUAGUCAUGCCUUGAUCAUUACUAUUGAACUACU
rnacentral:lncRNA from 1 species